AUAUGAUUACGCACAAGCGUGACGCGUCAACCCGGUCUCACAGUAAGACCGGGUUGGACCUGUUCAGGUUUACGCAGACAAUCUUUACAUUUAGAAUUGGCAUACAGAUGUAAAAUUAAUGCAGUAAAAUAUAAAGCAUUUUAUUUAAAUAUCCAUUCAUUAUUUUACAAGCACAGAGAGCCGCAUCAGAUGGAUGGAAGAGCCGCGGGUUGCCGACCCCCGUGCUAGACCUUGAAGUUGUCACAAGGGGGAGGGGUGGCGUCAGCUGGGAGGGCAGGUGUUGUGAGAAAUUGUGUUCCUCUGAAAUAUUCUGUCCCCCCGUGUCGGGAAGUCGUACUUCAGGUUAUCUUCACAACAUCUGUGAUCGACUUUUAUGGGAAAAUCAUGCAAUGUAAUAAAGUCGUGCUUGAGCUGUUUUUCUGUCUAUAUGUCCUCCUAAACACAAUAAAAAAGGUUCAGUGAAAACAUUCCUGUUCGCGUUUUACAAGCUUAUUUAUCGUUUUUAAAAGUUAUGUAAAAGGAUGUCGUCUCGCUCGGUUCUUAGAGGUUGUUUGGUCCUCAUAAUGGACAAUACGUUAGGAAAUAUUUGCUCUCGACUGCCUAAGAGAAACAGAAUAUUUUAGGGGAACAUAAUUUCCUACAACACCCGUUUCACGUGGAUGAGAGCAGCUUUGUAAACAAGCUAGCUAACAGCUAACGGACGUGGAAAAAGAAAGAAAACAGCGCCGUGGCUGGUGAAGGAGGGUUGGCGAGCCGGGGACACGGUGUGCAUGCUGUGUGUGUGUAAACACGGAUUACCAGCUGAAGGGGACCCACGUCCAAAGGCGUGGAGAGCUACAUCGCCGUUAGUAAAAUGUUUAUCAAGUUAACAACGCUGAUUUAGCCACUGGUUAGCGGACGAGCACUGGAGCGCGUUGGGAGAGACGGCAGGCUGCGGGAAGAGAGGAGACUUGUGUUAAAAGACUUUGGAACGGACACGUUGGGACCGGAUCGGGAGUUCUGGUACGAAGAAAAGACGAAUGAGCAACUUGAGGUAAUAUGGGAUAAAUCUAAAAUUACCUAUCACCUGGUACUGAUGUUCUACCAGCACUGGAUUGGAGGACAUCCAUCUGCGGCAUCUAAUCAGACUGGUCUAGACCGGAGCAGCCCAUUGCUUGUUGUCUCAUUGCCCUGCUGUGAAUAUAAAUGUCCACCAGUUGACCUAUGGAGGCAGAUGAACUGCAUAGUUGAUCAACCUCCAUGAAAGGUGAAAUGAUGGGGAGGAUGAAGGCAGAAUCUGUAAUGAGCUUUAGGAGCUCACCUUCCUUAGAUCGUACACAGGGCGGCUUUUAGGAUCUCAGGGAAAAUAAAUCUAUCUGCAGCGUUCUGUCCUGGCUGAUGCAGACAGUGAGUAGGUGGCAUAGAUGGAAUGUCAGCCAUGAAGCUGGGAACUGAGCUGGCUUUCUUGGCUCUGCAGCCUUUUUAAAGCAGUCUCUUUAAGAGAACGCCAGUUUCAAUGAAUGUCUUGCAGAGUUAGCACAAACUCCUGGGAGAUGAAGGCAGCAAGUGUCCUGGAAAAGCCCAACUCUUCAAAAGCUUGCGAGGCUGUUCUUCUGGAGAAGGUGACGUAAUCUCAGGCUCUUGUCUUAUUAGGGUAUGUGGAAAACAGACACCUACACAGAUGGGAGCUGGAUACAACAAACUCCUUUUUUUCCUGACAAAAUGCUAAUUUGGAGAAAGUAAACUGCUCCGUUGGCAGAGUGGUGAGUUCACACCAAACCCCACGCUUAAGUUGGUGCUAAUCAAAAUGCACCGUCAGUAGCAAAAGCUUGGAGCUCGAUUUCUAAACCACAUAAACCCUUUUAAUUAUCUUUUGUUAUUAGUCACUUAGCGAUUGUCAACCGCCUCAUCAACACACACACACACACAACCCAGGACAGAAACUCGUUUCAGCCAAUCAGUGCAUUCGUUAGAAGGUAGACAGGCUGACCGCAGCAGUUUGAGCGCUGUGUUAGUUAGCUUAGUAAGAUUAAUGAAAUGUUAAUAUGACACAUAUAUACCGUAAAUCCUCUAAUACAGGCCCAGGCCUUUAUUUGACUCAAGCUCAUCAAGCUCCAGGCCUUUAUUGGAAGGAGGGCCAGUAUUAGAGGCAGGCCUCUAUUUCUAUUUGAGCAAAAUGAACUAAUGGUUCGCUGGAGUUUUUGACAAUUAAAAGUGCACCCACAUUUUCAAAGUUAAACACAUUUCUUUUAACAACGGUAGUUUCUGCUUCAGCCCUCUCCCCCCUCCCCCUGC
rnacentral:lncRNA from 1 species